GUCCUGCCGCCUAUAGCUCAGUUGGUUAGAGCAUGGUGCUGAUAACGCCAAGGCUGUGGGUUCCAAUCCCCAUCUAGGACA